rnacentral:lncRNA from 1 species
GAAGCUCGAAGAUGAUUUUGAUACUUUCACCACUACGAAAUCCGCUGCCCUAGCGCAACCUCUGGUCGACGCGCACAUACCGUAUAAGAUCCAUAUCGUGAAAGAUCAUGACAUGAAGGAGAGGCUUUGUUUGGAAGUUGAACGACUAGGGUUAAGUGCGGUUAUCAUGGGAAGCCGAGGAUUCGGUGCAACAAAACGCGGAACCGAUGGGAGGCUCGGGAGUGUUAGCGAUUACUGUGUCCGUCACUGUGUGUGCCCGGUGGUGGUUGUGAGAUAUCCCGAUGAGAAAGAUCCCGCUGCUGCUGUUGAGCCGGUGGUGUCGGUUGCAACAGCCGAUG